UCCGUAGGCGGCUUUUCAAGUUAAAAGUAAAAUCAAAAAGCUUAACUUUUUGAGGCUUUUAAUACGUUAGGGCUUGGAGUUUGAAAGGAGAUAGUAGAAUUUCAUAUGGAGGGAUGAAAUCCGUAGAAUUAUGAAGGAAUACUGAUGGCGAAGGCGACUAUCUAUUUCAAUCUGACGCUGAGGGACGAAAGCAUGGGGAGCAAACA
rnacentral:rRNA from 1 species